UAGGGAAUCUUCGGCAAUGGGGGGAACCCUGACCGAGCAACGCCGCGUGAGUGAAGAAGGUUUUCGGAUCGUAAAGCUCUGUUGUUAAGGAAGAACGAGUGUGAGAAUGGAAAGUUCAUGCUGUGACGGUACUUAACCAGAAAGGGACGGCUAACUACGUGCCAGCAGCCGCGGUAAUACGUAGGUCCCGAGCGUUGUCCGGAUUUAUUGGGCGUAAAGCGAGCGCAGGCGGUUAGAAAAGUCUGAAGUGAAAGGCAGUGGCUCAACCAUUGUAGGCUUUGGAAACUAUUUAACUUGAGUGCAGAAGGGGAGAGUGGAAUUCCAUGUGUAGCGGUGAAAUGCGUAGAUAUAUGGAGGAACACCGGUGGCGAAAGCGGCUCUCUGGUCUGUAACUGACGCUGAGGCUCGAAAGCGUGGGGAGCGAACAGG
rnacentral:rRNA from 1 species